rnacentral:misc_RNA from 1 species
GGCAGAAAUAGAGUAUCUGUAUGAUGAUGAAGGGGAUGAAGCGGCGGAGGAGGAAGGGCAGCGUACUGUGUUGGCCGCCAAGGGAGUCGAUAGCCUGCACGAAGCUGCGGUGGAGGUCGGCGCUCCACCUCAUCCUGGGCUCCUUGGACCGGACGUACCGCCUCACCACAGCGCCGUUCCUGCCGCUGCCCAUCUCCUGGUCUCUUGGAUCGCCAGCAACGACGACGGUUCCUCACACUACUUGGAUGGUAUGGAGCUCACCGGACCGGGCGCUGGCUGGCAAGGAGACGCUCCAGGUGGUAGAGGAAAGAACCAAACUUCCCCUUUUGUUCCCUCCGGCCUCCUCUUCCCGGCUCCUCCCUCGCUCUCUGACUUGCCUGUAAGCCUGUCCAGAGCUGCUGCUGCGGCACGCAGUGUCUCUCUCUCACACACACACGUACAGACAGCUGAAGAUGCAAGAUUUGUUUUUCUAGGGUAAGAUAAGAUGCAAGAUUUGUUGCGAUUUGCGAAUGGAUGAGAAAGACCAAGCUGGUGCCCUUCCUCCCCGCAGGCCGCAGCGCCCUACGCUGUG